rnacentral:rRNA from 1 species
AGAGUUUGAUCCUGGCUCAGAUUGAACGCUGGCGGCAUGCUUUACACAUGCAAGUCGAACGGCAGCACGGGCUUCGGCCUGGUGGCGAGUGGCGAACGGGUGAGUAAUGCGUCGGAACGCGCCGAGUAGUGGGGGAUAACGCAGCGAAAGCUGUGCUAAUACCGCAUACGUACUGAGGUAGAAAGUGGGGGACCUUCGGGCCUCACGCUAUUCGAGCGGCCGACGUCUGAUUAGCUAGUUGGUGGGGUAAAGGCUCACCAAGGCGACGAUCAGUAGCGGGUCUGAGAGGAUGAUCCGCCACACUGGGACUGAGACACGGCCCAGACUCCUACGGGAGGCAGCAGUGGGGAAUUUUGGACAAUGGGCGCAAGGCUGAUCCAGCCAUGCCGCGUGUCUGAAGAAGGCCUUCGGGUUGUAAAGGACUUUUGUCCGGGAGCAAAGCCUACUUGUU